GACGAACGCUGGCGGCGUGCUUAACACAUGCAAGUCGAACGGUAAGGCUCCAGCUUGCUGGGGUACACGAGUGGCGAACGGGUGAGUAACACGUGGGUGACCUGCCCUGCACUUCGGGAUAAGCCUGGGAAACUGGGUCUAAUACCGGAUAGGACCGCACCGUGAGGGUGUGGAGGAAAGUUUUUUCGGUGUGGGAUGGGCCCGCGGCCUAUCAGCUUGUUGGUGGGGUAAUGGCCUACCAAGGCGGCGACGGGUAGCCGGCCUGAGAGGGUGGACGGCCACAUUGGGACUGAGACACGGCCCAGACUCCUACGGGAGGCAGCAGUGGGGAAUAUUGCACAAUGGGCGGAAGCCUGAUGCAGCGACGCCGCGUGGGGGAUGACGGCCUUCGGGUUGUAAACUCCUUUCACCAUCGACGAAGGGUUUCUGACGGUAGAUGGAGAAGAAGCACCGGCUAACUACGUG
rnacentral:rRNA from 1 species